rnacentral:rRNA from 1 species
AAACCAACUGGGAUUACCUUAGUAACGGCGAGUGAAGCGGUAAAAGCUCAAAUUUGAAAUCUGGUACUUUCAGUGCCCGAGUUGUAAUUUGUAGAAUUUGUCUUUGAUUAGGUCCUUGUCUAUGUUCCUUGGAACAGGACGUCAUAGAGGGUGAGAAUCCCGUUUGGCGAGGAUACCUUUUCUCUGUAAGACUUUUUCGAAGAGUCGAGUUGUUUGGGAAUGCAGCUCAAAGUGGGUGGUAAAUUCCAUCUAAAGCUAAAUAUUGGCGAGAGACCGAUAGCGAACAAGUACAGUGAUGGAAAGAUGAAAAGAACUUUGAAAAGAGAGUGAAAAAGUACGUGAAAUUGUUGAAAGGGAAGGGCAUUUGAUCAGACAUGGUGUUUUUGCAUGCACUCGCCUCUCGUGGGCUUGGGCCUCUCAAAAAUUUCACUGGGCCAACAUCAAUUUUGGCGGCAGGAAAAAUCUUUGGAAUGUAGCUACCUCGGUAGUGUUAUAGCCUUUUGAAAUACUGUCAGCUGGGAUUGA